UAUCGUUAGAUGGAAUCUGAAGGAAGCUUAAGGGGAAAUCUUGGUCUAAGGUAUACAAAUCAUAUUUGAGGCUGAUUGUUAUGGACGAGCUUGCUAAAUAAAGAAAAAUCUAAAACUAUCUAAAAUAACAAUAAGUAAAUGAUGCAGAUAGAUGAGAUCAAAGUG
rnacentral:ncRNA from 1 species